rnacentral:lncRNA from 1 species
CCAUGCAAGCACCAUGUAAAAUGGUUUUGAAUCGGAACCAAAGCCAUCUGUUGGAAGUAACAUCUGUAGGGACUGAACAUGUAUGUCACUCCCAGUAAUAUAGAGUGAAGGCAAUAAUAACAACAUUGUUUGUUGUUGGUUUAUAAUGGGUGAGUUCCUACUCCUUGGAUUCACCUGUUUAUCGCCUGCACACCUUGGCUAGGAUAUGUUGUUUCUUAAUAUUACCUGCAAGUCUGAAUCUUUUAAUUAUUUGUACAAUAUUUUUCAUUAUAGGAGUAUUGGCCAUCGUUUAUUCUUGGUAUGCACAUCAAAGUUUCAGAUAUUCUUAAUUGUGGAUGUACCUUUAGGAUUUCGUGAAAUAGAUAUGCAUCAUAUAUUGAUGCGUGUCCUAAGCAGCAGAUCAUUACUAUAGUUUAUGUAGUGUCUGAACCUUACAUUAUGUUCCUUCUUUUGAGUUUUCACAUAAAGCUAGGGUGUUCCUAUGUUUAGAGAGUUUAGAUAGAAGGCAAUACUGAACCACCUCCGUUUAUUGUCUCGAUAUGAUCUUUUAACAUUGUUUCUCAACUGUGUUCAAUCUGGCUUAUCAAUAAAAUAUACUCACUGUCAUGCAUUCUGCCUUGAUCCGUUGGCUACAUUUAUUUGGUUGGGUUAGUGCGGGUAUCUGGCCAAGCUACUUGGCUCACUUUCGUUGCCUUUUGCGGGUCCUUUUGUGGGAUGUUGUUGUUAUUCUGGGCCUUAAUGCUCGGAGGAGGGUCAGGGGCAUUUCCUGCACGGGAAGAGGGGCAUCUGUGGGGGUAUUGGCCAGAAGUAGGCAAGGUGAAAAAAACUAGCUUCUAUCUCUGCUACAUCUGAUCAGGCAACUAAAUUUGGUCCCCUUACUCAUUUCUUUUUCACUUACUGUAUGUGAAGCGAUAUAAUUUUAUUUUCAUUAACGCAUCUUAAUAUGUUUUAUCGAUUGGUGAAUGCACAACUUUAGCUCGGCAAAUGCUAAUUCUGAUGGGGCUUUUGCCACUUAUUGUUUUAUGGUUGUUUAGACAGAUGAUGGCAUGCUUCUUUCUUGCUAAUUGUCAAUUCUUUUGUACAGGGUCCCUCAGCUACUUAUGAUUUGCUAGACAAUGUGGGUAUGUAGGUAGCAUGUAUGGUUUUUACAUUGUUUUGCGCAGUUUGAGAUGCAUCACAUGAUGUUUUCUUUUUACAUUUAUGUGUAUUACAGAGUCCUUUCUUUUUCCACAAGGGGCAGUAGCUGUGCCAUUCGAUUCAAAGGACAAAGAGUUGAUCACAAAGGGGUAGCAUUCAGGAUAUAUACACAAAAGAGUAUAGAACCAAAUUAUAUGAUGUAAUUGACCAUUAUUUCUAUUAACUUCUCCUGUACACAAUGUUCACAAGUUCAUAUAUUAAGUAC